UCUAGAGAUAGAGCUUUCCCCUUCGGGGGGCAAAGUGACAGGUGGUGCAUGGUUGUCGUCAGCUCGUGUCGUGAGAUGUUGGGUUAAGUCCCGCAACGAGCGCAACCCUUAAGCUUAGUUGCCAUCAUUAAGUUGGGCACUCUAAGUUGACUGCCGGUGACAAACCGGAGGAAGGUGGGGAUGACGUCAAAUCAUCAUGCCCCUUAUGAUUUGGGCUACACACGUGCUACAAUGGACAAUACAAAGGGCAGCGAAACCGUGAGGUCAAGCAAAUCCCAUAAAGUUGUUCUCAGUUCGGAUUGUAGUCUGCAACUCGACUACAUGAAGCUGGAAUCGCUAGUAAUCGUAGAUCAGCAUGCUACGGUGAAUACGUUCCCGGGUCUUGUACACACCGCCCGUCACACCACGAGAGUUUGUAACACCCGAAGCCGGUGGAGUAACCUUUUAGGAGCUAGCCGUCGAAGGUGGGACAAAUGAUUGGGGUGAAGUCGUAACAAGGUAGCCGUAUCGGAAGGUGCGGCUGGAUCACCUCCUUU
rnacentral:rRNA from 1 species